rnacentral:rRNA from 1 species
UACGGAGGGGGCUAGCGUUGUCCGAAGUUACUGGGCGUAAAGCGCGCGUAGGCGGUUUGGUAAGUCCGCUGUGAAAGCCCGGAGCUCAACUCCGGAGGGUCGGUGGAUACUGCCAGUCUUGAAGGUGCUAGGGGGAGAUGGAAUUACCGGUGUAGCGGUGAAAUGCGUAGAUAUCGGUAGGAACACCAGUGGCGAAGGCGGUCUCCUGGGGCAUUCUUGACGCUGAGGCGCGAAAGCUGGGGGAGCGAACGGG